AUUGAACGCUGGCGGCAGGCCUAACACAUGCAAGUCGAGCGGAUGAAGGGAGCCUGCUCCUGGAUUCAGCGGCGGACGGGUGAGUAAGGCCUAGGAAUCUGCCUGGUAGUGGGGGAUAACGUCCGGAAACGGGCGCUAAUACCGCAUACGUCCUGAGGGAGAAAGUGGGGGAUCUUCGGACCUCACGCUAUCAGAUGAGCCUAGGUCGGAUUAGCUAGUUGGUGGGGUAAAGGCCUACAAAGGCGACGAUCCGUAACUGGUCUGAGAGGAUGAUCAGUCACACUGGCAGUGAGACACGGUCCAGACUUCUACGAGAGGCAGGAGUGGAGAAUAUUGGAAAAUGGGAGAAAGUCUGAUACAGCCAUGCCGCGUGUGAAGAAGGUCUUCGGAUUGUAAAGCACUUUAAGUUGGGAGGAAGGGCAGUAAGUUAAUACCUUGCUGUUUUGACGUUACCAACAGAAUAAGCACCGGCUAACUUCGUG
rnacentral:rRNA from 1 species